UAAGCAGUGAGCAGCUAACAUGUAAGAAGAACCCUUGUAGGAAGUGGAUUUUUCUAUGAAAUAUUCUUACGCUUGGCUUCUGGGCUUA